UACAGAGGGUGCGAGCGUUGUUCGGAAUUAUUGGGCGUAAAGCGCUGGUAGGUGGCUUGUUAAGUCGCGUGUGAAAUCUCCAGGCUCAACCUGGAAAGUGCGCGCGAAACUGGCGGGCUUGAGUGCCGGAGAGGGUCGCGGAAUUCCCAGUGUAGAGGUGAAAUUCGUAGAUAUCGGAGGAACACCAGUGGCGAAGGCGACUACCUGGCCUGUUCUGACGCUGAGGCGCGAAAGCUAGGGAGCAACGGG
rnacentral:rRNA from 1 species